rnacentral:rRNA from 1 species
GGUUAAGCGACUAAGCGUACACGGUGGAUGCCCUGGCAGUCAGAGGCGAUGAAGGACGUGCUAAUCUGCGAUAAGCGUCGGUAAGGUGAUAUGAACCGUUAUAACCGGCGAUUUCCGAAUGGGGAAACCCAGUGUGAUUCGUCACACUAUCAUUAACUGAAUCCAUAGGUUAAUGAGGCGAACCGGGGGAACUGAAAC